rnacentral:tRNA from 1 species
GGAGAGAUGGCUGAGUGGACGAAAGCGGCGGAUUGCUAAUCCGUUGUACGGGAGGGUUCGAAUCCCUCUCUUUCCG